UACGUAGGUGGCGAACGUUAUCCGGAAUUACUGGGCGUAAAGGGUCCGCAGGCGGAACUGAAGGUCUGGCGUGAAAGCUCCCGGCUUAACCGGGAGAGGCCGCUGGAAACCACAGAUCUUGAAUCACCCAGAGGUCGGCGGAAUUCCCGGUGUAGUGGUGGAAUGCGUAGAGAUCGGGAGGAACCUCGAAAGCGAAGGCAGCCGGCUGGGGGAUGAUUGACGCUGAGGGACGAAAGCGUGGGGAGCGAACAGG
rnacentral:misc_RNA from 1 species